AGAGUUUGAUCCUGGCUCAGAUUGAACGCUGGCGGCAGGCUUAACACAUGCAAGUCGAGCGGUAGCACAGGGGAGCUUGCUCCCCGGGUGACGAGCGGCGGACGGGUGAGUAAUGUCUGGGAAACUGCCUGAUGGAGGGGGAUAACUACUGGAAACGGUAGCUAAUACCGCAUAACGUCGCAAGACCAAAGAGGGGGACCUUCGGGCCUCUUGCCAUCAGAUGUGCCCAGAUGGGAUUAGCUAGUAGGUGGGGUAAUGGCUCACCUAGGCGACGAUCCCUAGCUGGUCUGAGAGGAUGACCAGCCACACUGGAACUGAGACACGGUCCAGACUCCUACGGGAGGCAGCAGUGGGGAAUAUUGCACAAUGGGCGCAAGCCUGAUGCAGCCAUGCCGCGUGUGUGAAGAAGGCCUUCGGGUUGUAAAGCACUUUCAGCGAGGAGGAAGGUGGUGAACUUAAUACGUUCAUCAA
rnacentral:rRNA from 1 species